rnacentral:rRNA from 1 species
ACGCUCGACACCUACGGGAGACAGCAGUGGGGAAUAUUGCACAAUGGGGGAAACCCUGAUGCAGCGACGCCGCGUGAGUGAAGAAGUAUUUCGGUAUGUAAAGCUCUAUCAGCAGGGAAGAAGAUGACGGUACCUGAGUAAGAAGCCCCGGCUAACUACGUGCUAGCAGCCGCGGUAAUCUGAGCGGGCUGGCAAGGC